GUCGAUGUCUCUUCAUGAAAAGGUUUUUUUGUGGAGGGUUCGAUUCUGGCUCAGGAUGAACGCUGGCGGCGUGCUUAACACAUGCAAGUCGAACGGGAUCGGCUGGAGCUUGCUCCGGCCGUGAGAGUGGCGAACGGGUGAGUAAUGCGUGACCGACCUGCCCCAUACACCGGAAUAGCUCCUGGAAACGGGUGGUAAUGCCGGAUGCUCCAGUUGGAUGCAUGUCCUUCUGGGAAAGAUUCUAUCGGUAUGGGAUGGGGUCGCGUCCUAUCAGGUAGUCGGCGGGGUAACGGCCCACCGAGCCUACGACGGGUAGCCGGCCUGAGAGGGCGACCGGCCACAUUGGGACUGAGAUACGGCCCAGACUCCUACGGGAGGCAGCAGUGGGGAAUAUUGCACAAUGGGCGCAAGCCUGAUGCAGCGACGCCGCGUGCGGGAUGACGGCCUUCGGGUUGUAAACCGCUUUUGACUGGGAGCAAGCCCUUAGGGGUGAGUGUACCUUUCGAAUAAGCACCGGCUAACUACGUGCCAGCAGCCGCGGUAAUACGUAGGGUGCAAGCGUUAUCCGGAAUUAUUGGGCGUAAAGGGCUCGUAGGCGGUUCGUCGCGUCCGGUGUGAAAGUCCAUCGCUUAACGGUGGAUCAGCGCCGGGUACGGGCGGGCUUGAGUGCGGUAGGGGAGACUGGAAUUCCCGGUGUAACGGUGGAAUGUGUAGAUAUCGGGAAGAACACCAAUGGCGAAGGCAGGUCUCUGGGCCGUCACUGACGCUGAGGAGCGAAAGCGUGGGGAGCGAACAGGAUUAGAUACCCUGGUAGUCCACGCCGUAAACGGUGGAUGCUGGAUGUGGGGACCAUUCCACGGUCUCCGUGUCGGAGCCAACGCGUUAAGCAUCCCGCCUGGGGAGUAC
rnacentral:rRNA from 1 species